CUCCUCACCGCCGCUCGCCGUUCUUCACAGCCUCCAUCUAGCGAGCACCGUAGACAGGAGCAGCGCCUCAGCUCAGUUGCAGCUCCAGCGCGUCUCCAACCACCAGGAGCAUAACAGUCGCGCCUGCAGUUGCGCCGCUGGCUGCUCCGCCACCAGGUCGCGCCACCACUGCAAGUCAGCCCCUCCUGCGUCGAUCUCAGGUGGUCCAAUCGCUUCCAGCACGCGUAGUUUCAAUCCGGUGGAUAGUCCAACUUUUAGGGAAGAUACUGCGGAUAGUCCAACUUUUAGGGGAGAUACUGCCGAAAUUUCGAGGAUUAUAAAAUUCAGAAAUGCGAGGACAAAGGUUGGAAGCAUGUGGCUAGAAAGGCAGUCCUUUUAGAGGACAAUAAAGAACUGUAAUAGAUGGAAAGAAGAAUCGUGGAGUCUAAUUGAAUGAACGAGAUAUGGUUCGAUAGGAGUAAUAAUCAUUGUAUCAAAUAAAUAGUAAAUGCAAAGGUAGUGAAUUAUGGAGUAGAGUUCCGCAAUUGUAACCAA